rnacentral:rRNA from 1 species
UACGUAGGCAGCAAGCGUUGUUCGGAAUUACUGGGCGUAAAGAGUGUGUAGGCGGUGCUCCAAGUCUGGUGUGAAAUCUCCCGGCUCAACUGGGAGGGUGCGCUAGAAACUGGAAUGCUAGAGGAUGGAAGAGGUAAGCGGAAUUCCUGGUGUAGCGGUGAAAUGCGUAGAUAUCAGGAGGAACACCUGUGGUGUAGACAGCUUACUGGACCAUUUCUGACGCUGAGACACGAAAGCGUGGGUAGCAAACAGG